rnacentral:rRNA from 1 species
AGAAUACAACGCUGGCGGCGUGCCUAACACAUGCAAGUCGAACGCGAAAGACGUCUUCGGACGUGAGUAGAGUGGCGUCCGGGUGAGUAACACGUAGGUAAUCUACCUUCGGGUGGGGAAUAACGCCUCGAAAGAGGCGCUAAUACCGCAUAACGCAGCGGCAGCUAAUGCUGAUUAGUUGUUAAAGCGGGGGACCGAGAGAUCGGCCUCGCGCCUGAAGAGGAGCCUGCGGCAGAUUAGCUAGUUGGCGGGGUAACGGCCCACCAAGGCGACGAUCUGUAGCUGGUCUGAGAGGACGGCC